UUCUGAAGCCAUGCUGCUCCGAGAGCACUGGUUUUGUCUGAUCUAAAGCUAAGCAGGGAUGGGCAUGGUUAGUGCCCGGAUGGAGGCCUGGGAGACCUAAAAGGAAGGGGCUGUGCAGAAU
ensembl:rRNA 5S_rRNA 5S ribosomal RNA